rnacentral:lncRNA from 1 species
AUCCUGUAAGGAGGGAUAGAGAUCGGUCGGGUUCCAGGCAUCAGUUCUAUCUCGAACUCUAUCUCCCUAGCAGGUGGUAAACCUGGCAGCUCGUCUGGGAACACAUCCAAAAACUCUCUGACCACCGGCACCGAGGCGGGCUCUCUAACCUGACUGCUAAGCUCUCUCACAUGAGCCAAAUACCCCUGACAUCCCCUCCUAAGCAACCUGCGAGCCUGAAGAGCUGAUAUCAGACCUCUAGGUGUACCCCUCCUGUCUCCCCUGAAGACGACCUCUGACCCAUCCUGACUUCUGAACCUGACUACCUUGUCCCUGCAGUCCAAGGUAGCACCAUGGGUAGAUAACCAGUCCAUCCCUAG